UACGUAGGGGGCAAGCGUUGUCCGGAAUUAUUGGGCGUAAAGGGCGCGUAGGCGGCCUUCUAAGUCAGACGUGAAAUCCCUCGGCUCAACCGAGGAACUGCGUCUGAUACUGGAAGGCUUGAAUCCGGGAGAGGGAUGCGGAAUUCCAGGUGUAGCGGUGAAAUGCGUAGAUAUCUGGAGGAACACCGGUGGCGAAGGCGGCAUCCUGGACCGGCAUUGACGCUGAGGCGCGAAAGCCAGGGGAGCAAACGGG
rnacentral:rRNA from 1 species